rnacentral:rRNA from 1 species
UAAUACAGAGGGUGCAAGCGUUAAUCGGAAUGACUGGGCGUAAAGGGCACGUAGGCGGAUAGAUGUGUCAUAGGUGAAAUCCCCGGGCUCAACCUGGGAACUGCCUAUGAAACUGUGUAUCUAGAAUAGAGUAGAGGUAAGUGGAAUUUCCGGUGUAGCGGUGAAAUGCGUAGAUAUCGGAAAGAACACCAGUGGCGAAGGCGACUUACUGGACUCAUAUUGACGCUGAGGUGCGAAAGCGUGGGGAGCAAACGGGAUUAGAUACCCCGGUAGUCCACGCUGUAAACGAUGAGAACUAGAUGCUUGUUGACUAAGGUUAAUGAGUAUUGAAGCAAACGCGUUAAGUUCUCCGCCUGGGGAGUACGGCCGCAAGGUUA